GAUUACUUUGCACCCCUGAGGAGACACAUUUUCACCUCCGCACCUGGAAAAAAGGUGAGAUUGAGACUUCAUACGGAAACGAAGUGUAUACAUUGUAGAAUAUGAAUGUAAAUAGAAAUAUAUUGCUGUUGAUAUUAUAGUUCUUGAAACAAAUCAUAUUAACUUAAUUGAAUAUCAGAAAAAAACACUCCCAGCAAAAGGAAAUGAAGAACGAGAUUGUUGUUAAACACAACAUGAGGCUUUGUUUUGUAGGAACAUCAUGAUGAAGCUGUUGGUGCUCACGCUGUGCCUGCUGGUCACCACCUUGGCUUCUCCGUAAGUCUUUCCUAAAGAAAACUUAAACGUAAUUUAGUCAGUCGACUGGUUGUCUUUCACGGUUUAAACACUGUUUUGCUUUAGAGAAGAACGCAUGAAGUCAUUGUUGCUUUCUCUUUUCUCCCGCUUGGUUUGCAGGUUGCGGAGAGUGACAGCAAUGAGGAAAAACAAGCUGCAGCGCAUGCUAACAAGGCCCUGAGGUGGAUGGAGAUGUACAGGCUGCACCAGCAGCAGAGAUUAGUUGGAACCCCCUUCAUGCCAGUUACUGAUGCUCCUGUUGAUGCUGCACCAGUCCAGGCUGCUGGCGUCCCUCCUGCUGCUGCCCAAGCUGUCGGAGACGCAUCGGAGGAGGAGACAGAGGCUGGCAACCCUGCACCCAAAGACGCCGUCCCCCUAAGCUCUGAUGAGGUCGAGGAGGCCGAGGAGGUUGAGGAGGUUGAGGAGGUGGAGGCAGCUGAGGCUGAACCUGCAGCAGCUGUUGAGCUGGCCGUGGUUGACGCCCCAGUGGACGCUGCAGCCGCUGAAGCUACAGUUGUGGACGUGCCUCCUGUUGACGCGGUUCUCGUUGACGCUGUCCCUGCAGCCCCUGAGGUGGCUGUUGAUGCGGCCGCCCCGGCCGCUGCUGACGUCCCUGUUGCUGCUACUGCUGAUGCCGCUGCCGUUGAUGCCGCUGCUGCCGUCCCUGCUGCUGCCGGUAUCGUUGAUGCCGCUGCCGUUGAUGUCGUUGCCGUUGAUGCCACUGAUGCCGGUGUUGUUGAUGCCGUUGAUGCCGGUGCCGCUGAUGCCGCUGCUGCUGAUGCCGCUGCUGCCUCACUGGCAGCUGAGAUUGACACAACUGGAGUGGCAGCAGAUCCUGUUGCAGUGUAGUUCCUUCUUGUCAUCCCCAGCCUCUUUUCCUAGCAGUGGAAACAGCCACUGUGUGUGUGUGUGUGUGUGUGUGUGCAGUGCAAAAGUAAGCUGUGUCACAUUGAUUCAUCAAGAAUGAACAACAAGUUGUGUGUUUUUAGUUAAGAAUUGGACAAUUAAAACAUUUUGUUGUGUUGUUUUUUCUGUCUUUAAUAAAAAUACUUUUUGAAAAUCUUAGUAGUUUGAAUUCAGUUGUGAUUGUUUAGUCAGACA
ensembl:lncRNA